CAGCCCACCAUGAAAUUUCUCAGGAAGAUCUUGUUUCAGGACCUGGAGCCUCGCAGUCUUUCCAGAAAGACCUGAAGAUUGAAGACCUCUGGGUUGUUUCUAGGCAAGAGGAAGAUUCUUUUUAGCUGGGCUUCUUCAGGAAGUUCAAGAUAUUGAUAGAUUUUCUCUGUGGGUCAUUGACUUUGCCUUAGGAGGAGUUGCCUCACCCCACCUUCAGGGGAUCUUCAGGAAGGGCGUGGGCUCUGGGUAACAGCAGAGACAGUGGCUCAGCGCCUAGUGAGCUAGGACUGGUCUGUGAGUAGGCGCAUCCUCCCAGGGCAUCUGCUGAAACUGAUGGCAGUGGUAACUCCCCAGGUCCUGACACUUGAUGGAAUUACUAAGUGGAUCUGAACUCUGAGAGGAGAGAGAACAGAUGGAAAUUCCUUCACUCAUCACACUCAACACAUGGCCUUGAGGCCACAGUCAGCAUCACAGGAUUCUUUUAACACAGACUACAUGGGAUACACACAGGAGCAUGUGGCUGCCAAUGAAUAUGGGGCUUCUGGCCUGUCAGAUAAAACAGGAAACACUAAUGAUUGCUCAAUUCUCCGGUGCUCUUUCUGGCUGGACUGGGACCACACCUCAGAAACAAUGUUCUGGGAAGCUAGUACCAUCAGCCAUGUUGGCCUAACAGCAUGACAUCUGUUUGUUAUCCCUGCAAAGGGAAGGAAGGAAUGUCUAAAACAGGAAAGCCUCAUUACCUGCAGGUAAUUUGUCUUGGAAAAAGCCCACUGAAGGUGAGUCACUUAAAACAGGAGCUAACAUUUCAAAGUGAAUAGAAAAAAUGAGGGAUGAAUAGAGCUUUAUCUUGAAAAAGAAAGUAGAACUGAAUAAUCACUCUUUCAUUCUAUUUCUCAAAUAUUUACUGAGUACCUACCCUGGUAGACACCAAUUUCAGCCCUGGGGAUACAGUAGUGAAUAAGACUAAAAAAUCUUUUUUUUCAAAGAGCCCCCAUUCCAGUAGAAGAGGCAAUUAUAACACAAAUAAAUAUUAAAUGUCAAGUAGUGACA
rnacentral:lncRNA from 1 species